ensembl:snRNA U6 U6 spliceosomal RNA
GUGUUCGCCUCGGCAGCACAUAUACUAAAAUUAGAAUGAUACACAGAAGAUUAGUACAGCCUCUCUGCAAGGGUGACAUGCAAAUUCAUGAAGCAGUCCAUAUUUUU